rnacentral:rRNA from 1 species
GUCCUUUUUGAAAUUUAUUUAAGGUCUAACCUGCCCAAUGAAAAUUUAAAUGGCCGCAGUAUAUUGACUGUGCAAAGGUAGCAUAAUCAUUAGUUUUUUAAUUAAAAGCUUGUAUGAAGGGUUGGACGAGAUAAAAUCUGUCUUAAUUUAAUUUAUUUUAGAAUUUAAUUUUUAAGUUAAAAAGCUUAAAUUUUAUUAAAAGACGAGAAGACCCUAUAGAUCUUAAUAUUUUUUAUAAUAUUAUUAUUUUAGAAUUAUAAAUUUAUUAUUAUUUAAAGUAUUUUAUUGGGGUAAUAUAAAGAUUUAAGUAAUUCUUUAUAAUUUUUUACAUUAAUUUAUGAUUAUUUGAUCCAUUAUUAUUGAUUAUAAGAUUAAGUUACCUUAGGGAUAACAGCGUAAUUUUUUUAAAGAGUUCAUAUCGAUAAAAAAGUUUGCGACCUCGAUGUUGGAUUAAAAAUUAUCUUAGGUGCAGGAGUUUAGGAUUUUGGUCUGUUCGACCAUUAAAUUUUU